rnacentral:rRNA from 1 species
AGUGAACGCUGGCGGUAGGCCUAACACAUGCAAGUCGAACGGCAGCACAGUAAGAGCUUGCUCUUACGGGUGGCGAGUGGCGGACGGGUGAGGAAUACAUCGGAAUCUACUUUUUCGUGGGGGAUAACGUAGGGAAACUUACGCUAAUACCGCAUACGACCUACGGGUGAAAGCAGGGGAUCUUCGGACCUUGCGCGAUUGAAUGAGCCGAUGUCGGAUUAGCUAGUUGGCGGGGUAAAGGCCCACCAAGGCGACGAUCCGUAGCUGGUCUGAGAGGAUGAUCGGCCACACUGGAACUGAGACACGGUCCAGACUCCUACGGGAGGCAGCAGUGGGGAAUAUUGGACAGUGGGCGCAAGCCUGAUCCAGCCAUACCGCGUGGGUGAAGAAGGCCUUCGGGUUGUAAAGCCCUUUUGUUGGGAAAGAAAAGCAGCAGGUUAAUACCCCGCUGUUCUGACGGUACCCAAAGAAUAAGCACCGGCUAACUUCGUG